CGACCCGCCAGAGGGUUAGCCCGGGCCCCAUCCCCCCACGUCCAGGCGGGCGGAAGCGAGGAUGCCGGCGCUGUUGAACUGUCCUGUCUCAGCACCUCAGGGAACCCUAAGUCCUACAGCCUGGAGGAGUUUUGAGGUUCCAAUGGUUUGAGAAAGCCCACGUUCUGGAAUCCUAGGGAGACCCACGCUCAGCUCAAAAGAGCCACGAAGAAGGGAACACCCUGCCUAAAGGUCACAUUACUUUUGACCUUCAUCAAGACUCGCAAGAGCUGUACCUGCUUCCACCUCUCUGUGUAAAGAUGGUGACUGGAUUAAACCAGCCGUCUCCUAGCUGACUUUCUUAGAGGGACCCCAAAGGAGCCGACGGUGGUCAUGGUGACCACGGCCCACCAGAAGGACUCAGGGAUGCUGGUGAAGUGGGAGUCUUCCCGGUCGACCUCAGCAAAGUAGACAGCGCUGGAGAAGAGGACCACGCCGAUGAAGAGGAAGAAAAUGAGGAGGCCCAGCUCACGCAUGGAGGCCCGGAGCGUCUGGCCCAAGAUCUGCAGGCCCUUGGAGUGGCGGGACAGUUUGAAGAUUCGGAAGACGCGCACCAGCCGGAUGACUCGCAGGAUGGCCAGUGACAUGGCCGGCUGGCCCACUCCCCGCUGCCGAGCCAGCUCGGUGCCCAGGGCCACAAAGUAGGGCACGAUGGCCACGAAAUCGAUGAUGUUCAUCACGUUCUUGAAGAAUGCCGUCUUGCUCGGGCAAACUGCCAGGCGCACCAGCAGCUCGAAGGAGAACCAACAGAUGCAUAGCGUCUCUACCACAAAGAAGGGGUCGUCGAAGGGCAUGCGAGGCGGGGGUCCAGGCACUGGACUGGAGCCAUUCAACCGAGCAGGGAACUGCAGGGAGGAAAGGGUUCAGAGAGGACCAGGCCGCUGGAACAGCCAUACUUGUUGUUGCAGUGUCCAAUGACUUCUCUGCAAAUGGGUCAGUAGCUGUUGGCCCCAGGCCCUCAGUGACCUAGCCGUCCUAGAUGCCUUCCAAGGGCCCCAGGGACCAUUCUGGAUAGGUAACUUUCUGGCCUCCGGUCCUCCACUGGAGCUGGAGCACCUCUUGAAAUGAUGCUCGAGUGGGCUUCAGCCUCUUCCCUCCCAGUGGCCCACCCCACCACUGAUCUUCUAGACAGGGCGGGUCCUGCUCCCGCCCCGAGCCCUUACCUUGCCCUCCUCAAACACAGCCCGGCCACAACGCCUGAAGACCUUUCUGCCCCAACUCCAGGACUUUCCAUGUGACUUUCUGUCAUGAUUCCUCCUAGCCCAGCCUUCAGCUCCCUCUCCUCUACCUCCAGCCCUUGG